rnacentral:tRNA from 1 species
GCAUUGGUGGUUCAGUGGCAGAAUUCUCACCUUCCAUGCGGGAGACCCAGGUUCAAAUUCCAGGCCAAUGCA